AUGAAUAUUGGGCAAAACUGGUGAAAACCAGUGACGCAAAGCCAUGGGUCUAAAACAUUUGUCAAGAUUGCCAGGUUGCCAGG
rnacentral:ncRNA from 1 species